CGUAGGGUGCGAGCGUUAAUCGGAAUUACUGGGCGUAAAGCGUGCGCAGGCGGUUUUGUAAGACAGGCGUGAAAUCCCCGGGCUCAACCUGGGAACUGCGCUUGUGACUGCAAGGCUAGAGUACGGCAGAGGGGGUGGAAUUCCACGUGUAGCAGUGAAAUGCGUAGAGAUGUGGAGGAACACCAAUGGCGAAGGCAGCCCCCUGGGUCGAUACUGACGCUCAUGCACGAAAGCGUGGGUAGCAAACAGGAUUAGAUACCCUGGUAGUCCACGCCCUAAACGAUGUCAACUAGGUGUUGGGUGGGUAAAACCAUUUAGUACCGGAGCUAACGCGUGAAGUUGACCGCCUGGGGAGUACGGCCGCAAGGUUA
rnacentral:rRNA from 1 species